AUUGAACGCUGGCGGCAUGCCUUACACAUGCAAGUCGAACGGUAACAGGUCUUCGGAUGCUGACGAGUGGCGAACGGGUGAGUAAUACAUCGGAACGUGCCUAGUAGUGGGGGAUAACCACUCGAAAGAGUGGCUAAUACCGCAUGAGAUCUACGGAUGAAAGCAGGGGAUCGCAAGACCUUGUGCUACUAGAGCGGCCGAUGGCAGAUUAGGUAGUUGGUGGGAUAAAAGCUUACCAAGCCGACGAUCUGUAGCUGGUCCGAGAGGACGAUCAGCCACACUGGAACUGAGACAAGGCCCAGACGCCUACGGGAGGCAGCAGUGCGGAAUUUUGGACAAUGGGCGCAAGCCUGAUCCAGCAAUGCCGCGUGCAGGAUGAAGGCCUUCGGGUUGUAAACUGCUUUUGUACGGAACGAAAAGCCCCGGGUUAAUACCCUGGGGUCAUGACGGUACCGUAAGAAUAAGCACCGGCUAACUACGUGCCAGCAGCCGCCGUAA
rnacentral:rRNA from 1 species